rnacentral:rRNA from 1 species
CGGGUGAGUAACGCGUAUCCAACCUUCCGUUUACUCGGGUAUAGCCUUUCGAAAGAAAGAUUAAUCCCCGAUAGUAUGGUAAGAUUGCAUGAAAAUACCAUUAAAGAUUAAUCGGUAAACGAUGGGGAUGCGUUCCAUUAGGUAGUAGGCGGGGUAACGGCCCACCUAGCCAACGAUGGAUAGGGGUUCUGAGAGGAAGGUCCC